rnacentral:rRNA from 1 species
GGAGGUAGUGACAAUAAAUCACAAUGCGGGACUAUCAGUCUUGCAAUUGGAUUGAGAACAAUGUACAACUCUUAUCGAUAAGCCAUUGGAGGGCAAGUCUGGUGCCAGCAGCCGCGGUAAUUCCAGCUCCAAUAGCGUAUAUUAACGUUGUUGCAGUUAAAAAGCUCGUAGUUGAAGUGUGGGUGAUCGCUAUUGUGAGACUUCGGUCUCUCGACAGUAAGUCACCCCCUUCCAGUAUCCAGUAGUGGGUAUUCAGUUACUUACUAUUGUGUGUUGGUCAUUUACUGUGAGAAAAUUAGAGUGUUCAAAGCAGGCGUUUGCUUGAAUAGAUUAGCAUGGAAUAAUAAUUGAAGGCUUUCGUGUUCGAUUUGAUUGGUUUGUUCAUGGAAGCAAGGUUAAAAGGAACAGUUGGGGGUAUUCAUAUUCACUAGUUAGAGGUGAAAUUCUCGGAUUUAUGGAAGAUGAACAAGUGCGAAAGCA